AAGGCGCUUUCUGCAGUGUCGGCUGGGAUCCCGCACAGCUGUGGCAGCCAGGGCUGCGGCGGCGGCUCGGUAGCUGCUUGCGUCCCCGAUGCCCCUGCUGCUGCUGCUGGUCUCUGCUCCAGACGCGCUCAGAAGGUGCCACCGCCGCCUUCUCUGCCCGGCUGGCCGCCGGGAGUGAACGCGCCCCCGCCUCCUGUCUGCUCUUCUGUCCGUCUGCACGUCUGUCAGUCCGACCGUCUGUCGGUCCGACUAGCAGCUCAGCGCGGGAUUCUCGCUUUCCUGCACUCUGCUCUCAAAGCUGCCACUCUCGCAGGCUGCCAGUCUGUGCACUGGUCUGUCCGUCCGUCCGAAUCUCUCCGUCCCACCAGCAAUGCAGCGUCCCUCUUCCGGUCUUCUGUGCCCACAGUCCUCUCCCACUCUGUGCCCCUGGCCGCUUCGCUCGAACCCUUCCUUACCCACCAUCUCACUUUCUUCUCCCAUAGUUCUCUCUUUCGGCUGCUUCUAAGAGGAUAUCUGCAACAAUAGGGAAUUUCACAGAGGAAAAAUGCCAGACUGCAUCAUAUGCCUUGAGGUAUCGCAACAACUAAGGAAAAAAAGUUGUGCCUCUGAGAUGGAAGUCCUCCAGUCUGCCGCUGCCUUCAGUGACCUCUCUUCUCUGCUAGCCUCUUCAAGGCCAGGCAUGUGAAAAUUCCUCAUGUGUUUGUGUCAUUUGAUUC
rnacentral:lncRNA from 1 species